rnacentral:rRNA from 1 species
CACGUAGGAGGCGAGCGUUGUCCGGAAUCAUUGGGCGUAAAGAGCGCGCAGGCGGCUUGGCAAGUCGGGUGUGAAAUCCCGGGGCUCAACCCCGUGACUGCAUCCGAUACUGUCAGGCUAGAGGUAGGUAGGGGAGAUCGGAAUUCCUGGUGUAGCGGUGAAAUGCGCAGAUAUCAGGAGGAACACCGGUGGCGAAGGCGGGUCUCUGGGCCGAUACUGACGCUGAGGAGCGAAAGCGUGGGGAGCGAACGG